rnacentral:lncRNA from 1 species
ACUGCAGACUGAAGCGGUUCCUAUUUGGCCACCUUGCCAGCCCAUCUCGAACAUCAUCUAAAAGGACUGGACCUACAUCUGCAGUUAACUGCACAAUGGAAGAAACGGCCUCUCCUGGGCAGCCUCAUGGAUGGGGUGAAGAGACAAAGCUUGGGAGUGUAGCAUGUUGAGCACAUCUGCUCAGAGGUAACAUUUAAGCAUUUAGGUUGUCUCCAAGCAUAAAAAUGGAAAUACUGAUCCUGUGACAACACAGCCUGAAUUUUCUGCUUUGCAGAUGCCAGAUUUAUUUUUAAAUGGUGUGAAUCAAAUCUGUGCUGAGAGGCCAACUUCAAAAUAUAAAAGAAAAAUUGGCAAUGGGAGGAUUGUGCUGGUUUGGCUGAAAUGAAGUGCUCUACGGCAUUUCAUUCUAGUGGAGCGUCUGACUGUGAAAAUCCUUCCAAUUGUAAUUUUCUUUGGCUUGUCAAAAGAGGAUUAUGAACUAAAGUCAGUGUUGCAGGAAAUGUCACCUGUCCUUUGAAAGAAAAUAAUAAAUCAAAAUGGCUUUUGUUCAUCAUGUUUAAAAUGAAAAAAAAAAAAAAGUUGAUCCACUUGGAGUCUUCUCUCAUUUCUUGACAAGGCAGUUAAAUAAAUAAAACGGAAUUUUUUGUAAUUGUUACUUCUUGCUCAUCUCAAAAGGGGAAAAGGGAAAUCUUCAUUCAAUACAUAUUCAUACAGAGAAAAUAGAAGAGCAGAGACAGAGACAGAAAGAGAAAUGAGAUGAAGAGUGAAACAAGACCCUGGUAGAGUUCCUCAAGUCAGAUGUUAAGAAAGGUAUCUUUAAAUUAUAAUUUGUUUCUUUGAUAGAUACUAUAUUACAAAUUCAAAAAUGUGAGGUAAAUAAAAACAAAAGGAGUAGAUAACUAUUCCUGAAAAAUUCUAAGUGCUUGUAUAUUUUGCUUUAAGCAAAUAAAGACAAAAUUACCAAACAUA